rnacentral:rRNA from 1 species
UACGGGGGGAGCAAGCGUUGUUCGGAUUUACUGGGCGUAAAGGGCGCGUAGGCGGUCGUGACAAGUCACUUGUGAAAUCUCCGGGCUUAACCCGGAGCGGUCAAGUGAUACUGUCGGACUAGAGUACAGAAGGGGCAACUGGAAUUCUCGGUGUAGCGGUGAGAUGCGUAGAUAUCGAGAGGAACACCUGCGGCGAAGGCGGGUUGCUGGGCUGAUACUGACGCUGAUGCGCGAAAGCCAGGGGAGCGAACGGG